AACGAACGCUGGCGGCGUGCUUAACACAUGCAAGUCGAACGGAACGGCCCUGCUUUUUUGCGGUGCUCGACUGGCGAACGGGUGAGUAACACGUGAGUAACCUGCCCUUGACUUUGGGAUAACUUCAGGCAGCUUAGGCUAAUCCCGGAUAGGAGUUCCUGCUGCAUGGUGGGGGUGGGAUAGUUUCGCCGGUUGGGGAUGGACUCGCGGCUUAUCAGCUUGUUGGUGGGGUAGUGGCUUAGCAAGGCUUGGACGGGUAGCCGGCCUGAGAGGGGGAGCGGACACGUCGGGCCUGGACUAAGGCCCAGACCCCUACGGGAGGCAGCAGUGGGGAAUAUUGCACAGUAGGCGGAAGCCUGGUGCAGCAACGCCGCGUGCGGGAUGACGGCCUUCGGGUUGUAAACCGCUUUCGCCUGUGACGAAGCGUGAGUGACGGUAAUGGGUAAAGAAGCACCGGCUAACUACGUG
rnacentral:rRNA from 1 species